UUACGGCCACACCACGUUGAAACACAGGUUACCGUAAGAAUACCGAAGUUAUGUAACGUCGAGCCCGGUCAGUACCCAGAUGGUUGACCAUUUUGGAAUAUCAGGUGCUGUAAG